AACUCCUGGAGAACUGCUUACUUCAGGGUAGAAAGCAGAAAGCCAGCAGGCAGGUUCUGCCUCUUCUACAUAAUGACUUUAAGUGACAGAUGAGCGUAGGGUAGAGUAACUUUCUGGUUCAUGAUUUCAGAUUUUUACCUACGAUAGAACUUCAGAUCUCAUUCUUAGUCUUCUCUCAUGGUAGGCAUAGUAACUGUUUCUUACAAAGUUUUCUUCUAUAAUUUAAAUCUGAGCGUCCAAUUCGCAAGCACUAGGAACAUCGACAGAUUUAGCUCGAUGCUGGUAAAUCUAUGGAAGCAGAGGCUAAGUUGCGUCUUCAUUCUUUGGUUCUGCCCCUGUGAGCGUCUCUGUCUCUGUGAAACUGGAGGAUCCAGUUUCAUUCUCUGAUACCUUUCUCAGGAUCUUGUCUGCAGGUCAUGGCUACUGACCCCUUGCUUUGCGGGUUGCUCUCAGGAUGGGAGAAGGGACCAAGGGCCACUCUAAUUAUCGAGUUCCGUGAUGGAGCCUGUAUGUGUGUGUGUAUGUGGGGGGGGAGGGGUGGCAUCACCAAUCCUGGAAGAUGUGAAGGUGUGUGACUUAGGUGGUCCCCUCGAGAAAGAUUACUGCUUUGCGGGUGUGGAAGACUGAAAGCGAAAUUAGAAUAAAUGUUCUUAUUUAGGUGUGUCCCCAGUAUGCUCGGUUGGCCUGCUUGGCUUUCUUUUUGGUAGCUUACGGCUUCACAUUUAAGAAACAAACAUAUUUCAUACUAUCUCUAAGAAAGCAUCACCAAAGGUAACGCAAGACACUAAAUGAGCAUCCACUCGCUGUAUGCACUUAAACAAAUAAACAGUAAAACAAGAAGAAACAACAUGAAAAUCUCUCAAGGUCCAGAAAGGGGGAAGGAGGAACACGGAAGAAGGGCAUGAAGUGAGAACCUGAUGGUCGCCUGGGAUCCUGGGGCAUAGGCAGGGGCUGUAGUUCUGGUUUAGGUUAGAAAACUUGGAACUUGGUGAAACAACUGAGCUUAAUGGCUCACAGGAAAAAAUGGACUAGAGGAGAUGGCCACUGAGAUUCUCACAUUCCCACAGACCAGGUGAAAUGCUGAGGUAUGGAGGAAUAGCUACCAAAGAACACCAGGUUCAGGCAACGCAGCAGCAUCGCUGAGAGGAGACGGUGUCCUCUCCAGUUCUGUCCCUAGCAUCUCCAUGUUGCUGCCCAAAUCCUGACCUCUCUGUGUUGCUUUGUAAGACAGAGAUGAACACUAUCACUGCUUGCUCCCCUGACCAUGGCUGGGUUGUUCUACAUCAUAAACACGGGGACCUGGUGCAGCUCUUAAAGUCUUAAACAUCAGAGGGACAGAUAACAAGGAAACGUGACGACCGGCUCGGCUGUUAAAUACUAGAUGAAACGUGACAUCAGUGUAUCCACAGAUGGUGACUCAAGCAUCCAGUUUGCGGGCAGUAGUUAAGGCCAGGCCUAAUCUCACCUGGCCAUGAUUUCUAAAUGUGCUACCUCUGUUUAUGGCAAACAGAAGCAGAGUAGGACAUCUGUUCUCUAUGCAGUACUGAACCAGCAUAUUUUACAUUUUCUUAAUACACUUUACUGGCCAAAGAUGAAAAUUUUAUGCCCAAGUAAUUGAAGUAAGAACUCUGUGGCUGUUUGCUAAUUUGUCUUUUCUCAUCCUGCCCUCUUUCCUAACUAGAAAACACAUUUCCUUCUCUUCCUUUCUCGUCUUCUUUGAAUACUGACCGAACAAGGGACCUUCUCCUCUCCUUUUCCAGCAACUUCUGCUAGCCCUGUGGUUUUACUCCCAAAUUCUAAUAAAUUGUCUUUAAACUUAGGAAGAGAGAGAGAGAGAGAGAGAGAGAGAGAGAGAGAGAGAGAGAGAGGAGAGAGAAUUAAGCUGUAGUUAGUACAAGACAUCAUCUUAAGCCCUCAUUAGUGAUUUGGGUGCAGCGAUUCCCUCCCUGGCUGUAAGCAGAACACAGAGAUACAGCACAUCAGCGAGGAGCACGCUCUGAGACUGUUUUCUGCCUCGGUCGGCCUCUUUCAUGCACAAAUGUUUCAGUUGUGUCUAAACUCACUACUAGCUAUUGCUACAUUUCUUUGGGUUGGUUCUUCCUAAGACUUGUCUAGCUGUGUUGAAUACACUCUAGACUACAUGAUGAAUAAUGCUUCCAAGGUGUCUCAAAGGAGGUACCAGGCUACAACCUGACCUGAACAGCAGUCCAUCUGGAAGCAGCUGCAGGCAAGGUGUAGAGAACACAGGCUUCAGCAUGACUGACAGAGCUAAGCUGUGCCCCUCCUGGGUGGUAGUAAAAGGAGUAUGGGCCCUGUAGCACCAACUGUACAGAUUUGCUGACAGAACAUCUAUAAGCCUCAGCUUCUGCAAGCGAAAGAGUGGGAAGCAGAGUUCUCACAGCACCUAGAGUCAUCUCUUAGUGUUCUUAUGAAGGGUCUGUGCCAAGCAAUGUCUCAUACAGUCCUGUGAGAACUGCUGCACAGCUCUGUCGGAGUGGUUAGGUAACCUAUACCACUAAAUUCAUCUGUACUAAAAACCCUAGUGUCCUUUUAAUACAUUAAAGUAUACAUAAAAUAAUCUAGAGGUCUGUCUGAGGCGCGCGACAGCGCUGGCCCACUUGCUGAACCCUGUGGUUACUAUCGCCACUGUUCACCUGAGGCUGAGGCAGAGGCCUCUGAGGUGAUAGAUAGAGGGUUUGUCUGAGGCCUGAACAGACUCUCUGAUCAAACAAUCAAACUCUUUGGAGGGCAUACCAUGUAGUGAAACUCUACUUUUCAAAUCUAUGAGUAGAGUAGCUGUCCUUUAAUUAAAUAUCCUGUAUUGAAAAUGACUCUGGUAGCUCCCAGAGCAAGGUCAGUAAACCGGGGAACAACAGAAACUAAAUAACUCAAGGUCCCAGUAUCAAAGGAGCUUCCAAUAGAGCCGAGGAACUAAAAAUGUUCACAGGCUAGCUGGCGUAUUCCCACAGAUCACAGCACCAACCAAGUGAGUCACACAGGGGACGUUGGCCUCUCCUGGGUAGGAUAAGCAGAGAGCUGCCAUUUUCUUUGGGGGUGGGUGACCUGCCUUUCCAAACCCACUCCUAGGCACACUAAGGAGACAUCUCAUCCAUCAUUGGGUACACUGCUGUACUUCAGGAUUUACAAGAGCAUGCGGCAUCUUUAGGUAACUCCAGCUACGAGUCUGUUAUUGGUAAAUUGGUUUUGUUUAAACUGUUAACGGUUGGAGCUAGCAUUUUAAAGACGUGGCAGAAAUAUUAUGCAAGAUAACGUCAGAACUAUACAAGUAUUAUUGAUUUUUGAGAACUGUGUUAUUUUAAAUCUGCUAGUAAGUGAUUGCUCAGGUCUGUAAGCUGCCUGCUGAGACAACUGAAAAAAAAAAACUGCAGCCGCAUUUAUUUUCAGUUUUGUUUAUAAUAUGUGAGGUUGUAAGGAUGAGGAGAACAAGAUUAGACAAGUAGUCACACAUCCAAAUGAGUGUGGUAAAACAAAUGGUUAAAUGAAGCUCAGAGACUGUGUAAAAACAGCCAACAUGUGUGGUAAGGGGACAGUGGUACACCAGUACCACCUCAGAAUGUAACUGCGUCUGAGGAUCACUGUGAUGGCCUCGAAACAAACACAACAACAAACAGCUGCUAAACAGCAACAUCCCUGACAGGCUCUCACCUAAAAUGCUCCGCCUACUUUAUGGGCGUAAACAACAAAAAUACCACACAAGUAAAAUUCAAAACCAAAAAAGACCACACAACCCUCCCUAUCAACUCUACGCCUAGAGUCACCCGUGUGAUACUUCCAAUUUGCCACUAUUUUUUUCUCUUGAAAACCAGAAAAGUUAUCUAGUAGGUACACCACAGUGGCCGAAGUCAUGUUGGGGCACAGUGCUGCUGUCUCUCUGUUUGCAUUCUGUUUACAAUCCUUAUGAAACCACAAAUCAGACAGCUAGUAAUUAAUUAACCGCCUGUGUGGAAGCCAUUUCAAGUGUUCAAAAUGGCAGGCAUCUGAGGGAAACAUGCCACAGUACACUGAGCCUAUUGCUUUCUGGCUUUUGCUUCCCUUCCCUUCCCUUCCCUUUCUAAACUGAAGGAGUCUCCCAAGAAUUAAGGACCUCAGCAUUUGUCCCACUGUGACAAAGACAAAUACUUCUAUUCAUGUUUCCCCAUCUAGCUCUGAUCAGAAAAUAAUGCAUAUGUUCCUUGCUCUUCCGCUGCUGACUGUGUUCUCUUAGUGUGCUGGGACUAUCCCUUCUUAUGGAGGGCUCAUUGCCCUCACGGACAUUGCCUGGAGUGACCACCAGUGUACCACAGGUACCAAAAACCAUUUGCAUGGUACACAAACGGGGAAGACUUCCAGAAGGGCAACAGAUAAGUUAGAUUUUGAAUAAUUACCAGUAACCUACCUAGCAGACAAAAGAGAAGAGGGAGUCCCAAGACAGAAGGUCUUGAGGGGUGCUUUAGAACAGCCAAAGAGCAGGUGGGCAGGGACAGUUGAAGAGAGGUAUAGAAAACAGGGAACAGCGAAGCUCCUGAUUCCAACUGGGAGUUACUAUGCUUAUCUAAUAACCAUAGGAAUUAUUUUUAUUCAAAUACCAUCCAUUUAAGGAUGAUUAGUAAGAAGCACUCUAAGUUGGCAAUGUACUUAAGUAGGAGUUACUUUGAGAGAGAAAUGUGCACCAUGAAAGGAGUUCUAUGUUUUCCCCACAUGUACCUGUGGUACUCUUUCCAUUAACGUAAAUCACAUUAACCUCAAAGAUGGCGACCUAAUUUCACUAUAAUAAGAGGAGACUUAGAACCACUCAGGUACCUUUCUUUUUCCCCCCGGAUCUUUAGCUGUGCUAUUACAUUAAUUUCAGGAAAUAUUCAUAUUUGUUCAUUUAGUAUACCAACCCAUUAAACUGGAAAGGAUUCUUGGGUUAGAUCCUUAAAUUUCAAAAUUUAAGAGCAAUUCUUCCUUUCCACAGAGGCUUUUCGCCUGAUGCUUUUGUGUUUUUAUCUUUACCACUGCAAUGCAGGGCCCCAUCAGUAUUCCUACAUGUCUGGUAGGCUUAGUAUACUUCUCAGCAAGUAUAAAAUCUUUUGUACUAUAAUUCUUACAACUAAGAGAUGUGACUUUCCUGAGACAAACUGCAAAGCAGAUAAUAAGAAAGAGACAAAGAUAAAGAUCCUCUCUCACUUUAGACCACCAUCACCAAUACCUAGUCUAAAAAACUUAGCAGCAACUGUACUUUAACGGGGAUUCAUCUUUCAGACUGCUUAGACUGGCAAUAGCGCAACUUAUGAAGCCCACAGCCGUAGUCCAGCAGGACACACCUGCAGGCUCCUCCCACCCACGAGGGAGGUUCCCCUGCUUGAACAAGCAGCUCCCCACCCAGGCUGAGAUCCAACCCAACAAGUUUGAGAGCAGAUCAGAGAUGUGAGGACUACAGAGCUGAGUGCCCACAGCAGCAGAUCCCGGUUCUGCUUGAGGAAUGAUGUCUGGUCAUUCCAGCCCCCUCCUGGAGAGCAGAGACUCCAACACUGGCCCCUGCUCCACCACUUGUAAGUAAGUGGUAAGAUCAGGACACCCAUCUUUCCGAUCACAGAAGCAGUUCAACAGUAGGGUCAGGAUCUUAAGCUUCACCAAAGGGCCACAGUAGAGGAUUAAUCCUAAGGCUAGCUCCAAUACGACAGGAGUGAAGUCUUAGGUGUGACCUUCAGAGACAACUCGGUGUGUACCAGUUAUAUGGUCUACAGAAGCCCCGAGGGCAAUCCCCAACAGCACAUCCGACUUCUUUCUGAUGACUAGAGAACUAGGAUCAUUUUACAGCAUUCUAAAUGAUAGUCACUAAUGCAAGAGAAACCAGGAAUUGGGGUGGAGUGGGAGGAAUAAAACCAUAUUUAUAGUUUCAAUAUAGCCACAUAAGGGCAAAUGGUAACUAGAGCAGACCCGGAGUUGUGCAAUCAAGUACCUGUAGGCUGCAGAGGCAAUGCUUGGGAGAGGAAGGUCUACCAGGGAGUGCCAGCACCUGUGGGCAGGAGCCUCUCCCAUCAGAAAUUGGUGGCUGAGGCCUAGUAUAACUGCUCUGCUCUGUGGAAGCUCCUCUGAACUCUUGGGACAAGAUCCCACCUGGAUUCUAUGAUGCCCCCUGAUACAUGUAACAGUGUUCAUGCCAAGGAAAACUAGACCCCAGCUGGAAAGAUGAGCAGUUCCUUCAUGCAUGUGACAGGAAGACAUACCCCUUCCUCUACCCAUACCCCUGCCAACUUCCUAGCCUCUAAAAUAAAAUGAAGAUUCAUUUUAUUCUUCUUCAUUUUGAUACUACCUCAGUAUACCUGCAAGAACUGUGAUCAGCUUUUGUCAGACUUGACAUGAAUCCCAGCUAUAGCCAUUACUUGCUAUGUGAAGCAGGGCAAGUCAAUUAGAAUCUCUCAACUUAUCUUUCUACAGGGCUAGGAGGGUAAAAUAUUAAGGUCAUGGGACUGUUCUAGACAAGCCUUGUGCUCAAGAGUCCAAGAGCAAAGAAUACGGAAUCCCUCAUUUUAAAAUGGCCAACAGCAAAGCACAACUAUCCAAGCCAUGGCUGAAAGAGCAGGUCUCUAAGCACCGAUCCAAUCCAGCCCCGAACAGCUGAGAAAUGUUCUCAGCUUGAUUCAUCGAGCAGAUACCACAUUCUUCAGUGGUUUCAUCAACUGUCAGCCAGGGGAGCAGUAGGAGCAGGACAGGAAUCCCACCCAUGAACGAGUUCCUCUGGAACACAGCCCUUCACUCCACCUGAAGCAAUCUUUAUAAGGACAUGCAGAGGCUGCAGUGCACACCACAGUAAGCAUUCCUGGAGGCUGAGAUGCAGAUGGGCUGGGACAGUGUGAAGGAAGAAAGAGCUGCCAGUCCCCUUCCUGAUAGGUAGCUGAGGCUACAAAGCACCCAACAGUCACAGCUCAGACUAAAGGGCAAGAAAUCAUUUCACCCCUGCCUUCCAGUCCAUCUCUAAGUAAAAUGUUGUGUCCAUGAUGUACAGCAGGAAGCCUUCCAUAGGCAACUAUGCUGGCUUCUAUAUAAAAUGGUACCCAGUCUUCACUUUUAUGUUUGAGAGAAUGGAAAGUCUGAAAAAGCACAGAGCUGAAAGUCGGUCGAAUCCUUUUUAUCACGGCAUCACCAUCCAUGGCUAGAAGACAGGACAAGUUAUUUGGAUGUUUUGUUUCUUUGUUUGCUUUCUUUUACUCACACUGGGAAAGUAUAAUUUUACAAUGACAAGCAUUAAACGGUAUGCUUAACAAACUCUUCCAUUAGUCAUAAAAGCAGUUCAAUAAUACAGACUGCUUUUAUACCUGUCUCCACCUCCAGCCUCACUUUCUCCUUCCCAUAACAGUCACGGUUAAAGUAAAGAACUGUCUGUGGAUGCUUCUUCACUCUGCUGGGAUUACUCAGCCCCGGGUCAUCAGACAUCUGCCCCAUUAGCCUCCUCUACCAGGAUGCCGGCACACAGGAACAGGACUCCAUCCCAUGCACUGAGCUGCCCUGUGUUUGACGUCCCUAUGGCUAAGUCCAGUCUCAUCUCUUCCUUUCUUGGUCUACUCGACAACACUGUCUUCUGCUAAUUCCAGUGCCUCUGGCAUGCUGUGUGCAGCCAUCCCUGUGUACUCCACUGCCACGGGAGCUGCUCCUCACGAGCAGGAAUGUACAAAACUUCUCCGACACAUUCUGAAUACAAAUAUUCCAUAAGAGCUGCGAAACGAAAAUGUCCUAGAGUGCUCUCAUUUCUGAGCCCACUGGCUAACUCCGUGUUAUCUUUCUUACUGCUACUGAUGGGGCCUGAAGCAACUGAAUCAGGAAAAGGAAGACGAUAGACGAUGAUCUGGGAACAGAAACAGCUAAAUUAAAAAAGAUUAUAUCCCCCAAAUUUGCUAAAAUAGUUUUCUGUUUUAGGGAACAGUAAGUAAUAUGGUUAUUAAAAGUGGGAUUUUUGCCUAUUGCCUUACACUCAAAAGAAAAGGCCAGCAUUCAAAGAAAAAAAAUUAAUCCUAAUUAUCUAUAUUCUAGUAAUAACAUAACUUCCUUGUGAAGCCUGCUGCAUCCCAGAUACUAGAAGGAUUCAAAAGGAGGAACAGUAGUGGACAACUGUCUGCUUUCUCCAAAGAGCUGGUUUUGAAGGAAAUGGAAGGAAUCCUUAAAUUUGAAGGAAAAAACCGUGUUUCUUCUAUCUCCUGUCACACACCAGCCUUAACCGUAUGUGAUACUGUAGACAUGAAAGGCCUGAGCCAUAGACAAGUCUCCCCUCCUACACAAGCCAGGACCCACUUAUCCCUACAGUGCUCUUUUCUUGCUCACUCAGCAAACACUGGUGGGAACGGCAGCACUUGGAGGCUCUCGGCAACUUCCUGCAUGGGAAUAUCAGCAGUGAGGGUCAUGAAAGUCCCCCAUGGUUUCAGUUCAUAAGAAACAAUAUGACUUCCCUUAUAGCAAACUGCUCAUAUGCAGAUUUUCCUUUAAUUGCACAUGCUCCAAAACAGUUCUCAUGAUGCCUUCUCUAUAUUGUCCAUUUCUAAGACAAGGCUAGGAAUUCGGGAUAUACCUGAUUAGAUAGGAGGAACUAACAUUUUAAAACUUGUAGUACUACAUAGCACAUGCUUUCUGCUAAUCUUCUCUUAAACCAUCUGAAGGCCAGAAGAGCAAUUUACCACAAUUACCCUGCACACCAAACACUAAACCCAGUUAAAUGAUGCUCUUUUAGUCUAAUAUUGAGAUUGAAAGAAAUACACUUCAGAAAAAGCAAAACAAAUGAGACAAAUUUUCAAAUGAUAUUAAAUCCUUAGUGGAAAUCUACUUAUGAGGAAGAUAUAUAAAUUCAUGUGAAUUUGAAUCUUGACUGAGAUUUGAAAGAGAUGUCAGUACAAUUCUAAAAAAGUCACUAGUUUACAGGCAAAGCUAAAACCCGAGAGAUCACAGGGUGCUAAAUGCAUCACAAUUUAUCUAUGAAUGAGCUGGAGAGAUGGCUCAACAGUUAAAAAACACUGGCUGUUUUUCCAGAGAACCCAAGCUUGAUUUCCAGCACCAAUAUGGCAGCUCACAACCAUCUGUCACUUGGAUCCUAUAACUUUUUCAAUGCACACAAUGCGUAGACAUACAAUCAGGCAUAAAAUAAUAAAUAAAUAUUUUUAAAUUUUUAUUUUAAAAUUCCUAUACAUAUCAGUGUUAGAUCUUAUAGAAAUAAUCAUCUGCAAUUACAUACUAGUCUCAUCAUAUAUACAUUAUGUGGUCAGUUUUUUUUUAAGGGGAUGUGAUAGACAUAUAAAGUUUAUACACAUAAACCAAGACUUCAAUCUGCUAGAAUUGUUUAACAUUUUACACAGUCCUUCUUGUAUUCCUGUGGGACUGUCAGUGGAAUUACCAUUUCAGAGAGGCAAAUCCCUAAGUAACGAUGUUAACUAACUUUCCAAAAGUCACACAGUGGCAUCCAGAUGAUACCAGACCACAGACAUGGUCAUACUUCAUGGCAAACUGAAAAAUGGUUAAAAAAAAAAAAAAGUUACCCUUCUUCGGCAAAGGUGUUCAAAUACACACCAUCGUUUUCCUAGUCA